UAUAGAUGGAUCCGCGCUGCAUUAGCUAGUUGGUAAGGUAACGGCUUACCAAGGCAACGAUGCAUAGCCGACCUGAGAGGGUGAUCGGCCACACUGGAACUGAGACACGGUCCAGACUCCUACGGGAGGCAGCAGUAGGGAAUCUUCCGCAAUGGGCGAAAGCCUGACGGAGCAACGCCGCGUGAGUGAUGAAGGUCUUCGGAUCGUAAAACUCUGUUAUUAGGGAAGAACAUAUGUGUAAGUAACUGUGCACAUCUUGACGGUACCUAAUCAGAAAGCCACGGCUAACUACGUGCCAGCAGCCGCGGUAAUACGUAGGUGGCAAGCGUUAUCCGGAAUUAUUGGGCGUAAAGCGCGCGUAGGCGGUUUUUUAAGUCUGAUGUGAAAGCCCACGGCUCAACCGUGGAGGGUCAUUGGAAACUGGAAAACUUGAGUGCAGAAGAGGAAAGUGGAAUUCCAUGUGUAGCGGUGAAAUGCGCAGAGAUAUGGAGGAACACCAGUGGCGAAGGCGACUUUCUGGUCUGUAACUGACGCUGAUGUGCGAAAGCAUGGGGAUCAAACAGGAUUAGAUACCCUGGUAGUCCACGCCGUAAACGAUGAGUGCUAAGUGUUAGGGGGUUUCCGCCCCUUAGU
rnacentral:rRNA from 1 species